rfam:Roseobacter denitrificans OCh 114, complete genome.
GGGCACCUACGGGGGCCUUCAUACCAUCGCCGGGGCAACCCGGCGCAUAGCAAAACGGAAGACAGACA